UUGACUAAAGGUAAGUCAAAGUUUGAGUUGAUAUGCUUCAUGUGUACUAAAGAAUUUGUAAUUGAAAGAUCCGUUGACUAAAAGUAAGUCGAAGGUUAUGUUUGAAAUGCUUCAUAUGUAUUAAAGCAUUUUCAAGUGUAGUUGAAAGAUCCAUUGACUAAAGGUAAGUCAAGGUUUGAAUGGGUGUUUUAGUUUGAAAAGGGGGU
rnacentral:lncRNA from 1 species